UUCGCAAUGCCCGAAAGGGUGAACGAGCGACGCCGCGUGCGGGAUGAAGGGUUUCGGCUUGUAAACCGCUUUUUUUUGGGAAGAAGGCCUGUCUUGUGAAGAUGGGCUCGACGGUACCAGAGGAAUAAGCCUCGGCUAACUCCGUGCCAGCCGCCGCGGUAAGACGGAGGAGGCGAGCGUUGUUUGGAAUUAUUGGGCGUAAAGGGCGUGUAGGCGGAUGGGAACGUCGGUUUUUGAAAGCCCCCGGCUCAACCGGGGAAGUGGAGCCGAAACGACCGAUCUGGAGGGACGUAGGGGGACCUGGAACUUCCGGUGGAGCGGUGAAAUGCGUUGAGAUCGGAAGGAACGCCCGUGGCGAAAGCGAGGUCCUGGACGUCUGCUGACGCUGAGACGCGAAAGCUAGGGGAGCGAACGGGAUUAGAUACCCCGGUAGUCCUAGCCGUAAACGAUGGGCACUAAGUAGAGGGGUUUU
rnacentral:rRNA from 1 species